GGGGUUGUGGCUCAGUGGUAAAGUGCCCGCCUAGCAUGUGCGAGGUCCUGGGUUCAAUCCUCAGCACCACG
rnacentral:tRNA from 1 species